GACGAACGCUGGCGGCGUGCUUAACACAUGCAAGUCGAACGGAAAGGCCCCUUCGGGGGUACUCGAGUGGCGAACAGGUGAGUAACACGUGAGUAACCUGCCCUUGACUUCGGGAUAACUUCAGGAAACUGGGGCUAAUACCGGAUAGGAAUCCUUGCUGCAUGGUGGGGGUUGGAAAGCUUCAGCGGUUUUGGAUGGACUCGCGGCUUAUCAGCUUGUUGGUGGGGUAGUGGCUUACCAAGGCUUUGACGGGUAGCCGGCCUGAGAGGGCGACCGGCCACAUUGGGACUGAGAUACGGCCCAGACUCCUACGGGAGGCAGCAGUGGGGAAUAUUGCACAAUGGGCGGAAGCCUGAUGCAGCAACGCCGCGUGCGGGAUGACGGCCUUCGGGUUGUAAACCGCUUUCAGCAGGGGCGAAGCUUGUGGUGACGGUACCUGCAGAAGAAGCACCGGCUAACUACGUG
rnacentral:rRNA from 1 species